AGUGAACGCUGGCGGUAGGCCUAACACAUGCAAGUCGAACGGCAGCACAGGAGAGCUUGCUCUCUGGGUGGCGAGUGGCGGACGGGUGAGGAAUACAUCGGAAUCUACUCUGUCGUGGGGGAUAACGUAGGGAAACUUACGCUAAUACCGCAUACGACCUACGGGUGAAAGCAGGGGAUCUUCGGACCUUGCGCGAUUGAAUGAGCCGAUGUCGGAUUAGCUAGUUGGCGGGGUAAAGGCCCACCAAGGCGACGAUCCGUAGCUGGUCUGAGAGGAUGAUCAGCCACACUGGAACUGAGCCACGGUCCAGACUCCUACGGGAGGCAGCAGUGGGGAAUAUUGGACAAUGGGCGCAAGCCUGAUCCAGCCAUACCGCGUGGGUGAAGAAGGCCUUCGGGUUGUAAAGCCCUUUUGUUGGGAAAGAAAUCCAGCUGGCUAAUACCCGGCUGGGAUGACGGUACCCAAAGAAUAAGCACCGGCUAACUUCGUGCCAGCCGCCGCCGUAA
rnacentral:rRNA from 1 species